UACAGAGGUCCCAAGCGUUGUUCGGAUUCACUGGGCGUAAAGGGUGCGCAGGUGGGCUGGUAAGUUCGAUGUGAAAGCCCCGGGCUUAACCCGGGAAUGGCAUUGGAUACUACCGGUCUGGAGGAUUGGAGGGGGGACUGGAAUUCUUGGUGUAGCAGUGAAAUGCGUAGAUAUCAAGAGGAACACCAGUGGCGAAGGCGAGUCCCUGGACAAUACCUGACACUGAGGCACGAAAGCUAGGGGAGCAAACAGG
rnacentral:rRNA from 1 species